ensembl:lncRNA
CUUCUCCUCCUCCUUCUUUUCCUCUUCCUCUUCUUUCCUCUCCUCCUUCUCUUCCACCUUUUCUUCAUAAGAUGAUCUCACAUGCCGUGCUUUCCCACAUGUAAUUUUUCUAUUAUAUUUUACUACUGUUUUCUGGGAAAAUUUAUUUGUUUAUUCAUUUGCCAUUUGACUGGUUCCUUACUUCAAUAAUUAGCUAAUUUUGGUUCUUUUUGAGUUGUCUAGACAGAUAAUAUUACCCAUAGACAAUGAAUUUUCUGUUCCUCCUACUGCCUAAAAAAAUGUAACUUCUUGAUUUUUUUCCCUGUCUUACUUCAAGGCAAGAAACACCAUGCUAUUUAAAGUAUUCCUUAUUGGAAGUGCCUCUAACAUUUUGCUAGUGAGAACGCAAUCCCAAACACAUUGUGCUUUUGGUCAGUUCUGGUGUUGGAUAUCCCGCCCCCAUUUAACUUUAAAUCUCCCUUCCUGAGCCUUCUGCUUGUCAGCCCUCACACUGGAAGCCUCCUGGGACAUUUUUCCAAAUAUUGAAUAAGUGUGACCCCUUUUCUACUUGAGUGUUCCCUGGAUAUACAGACAUCUCCUGCAAGUAUCAUCCCUUCCUCUUCUCAUGCAUGAAUACCCAUUGUCCCCUGGCAGUAGCGGUCUCCUUUAAUUCUCAGACAGCAAAGUUCUGAGCUGCUCUUGUUUUCUUUCAUGUGACAACACCAGGCUAUUUUCUGCCAACUGAAAAGUUAGUGUCUUUGCAUGAGAUUUUUUAUAUUUUCACAUUUUAAGGAAAUGCUAAACUAUUUUUCUCACAUAGAAAUUAUCAUUUCAUUUGAAUUUGCUGACUUUUUGCCAGUGGGAAGUAAAAAUAACCCAGUUUUGCAUAUGCCAAGCAAAAAGAAUUGGUUACAUGGGUUUAGGUUGGUUAAAACAAUAACCGAGAAGAGGCUGAGGGAGGGAAAAGCCUCCUACACCAUCAGCGUCUGACAAAGCUGGGGUACCUAUCUCAGGGCAGGCUGGUGGAUGCCUCCUGAGUGGGUGGGGGCCUAAUGAUGGGGGUUCCUUGAGCAUGUCACGGUGUCACUCUCUGCCUGCAUAUCUUCACCUACAAAUUGUGAGAUAAUGCAGGAACUCCAAUUAAGCGUUUAGUUUGACACAUGUCACCCAGCACACACUUACUACAGUGACUGUUAGGACUAUUGAAUUUGAAGGCAGAAACGUGGAUGGUAUUUUAGUCAACAAAUAGAAAGUGAAGCUCCUUCUCCACCAUGACUCCUCCCUUCAUAGAGCCAAUUCCUCAGAUAUUCAAGAGUUUUACGAUUUAGGCAAUAGAAAGAGAAGUAGUGGCAGUUCAGGUUAAACUUCUACCCAACGUAGAAGGAACAGGUAGUUUUAUCCUUUCUCUACUGCCUGUCAGGUUCCCUUGGACCUAACUUGUUGUUUCACACUACCAGGACAAGCCGUUUUUUGCUCAUGAAGACCCAGCUUUUCUCCAAGGAAGACAUUUUGAUACUGGCGGUCUAUUAAAUCACUGUGCUCAUGUGCUCAGAGUUUAAGAAACUUGUCAGCAUGUCUUAAUUUCUCCAAUUUGUUUGCCCAGGGAAACACCCCUAUUAGUAUGAAACUUAGACCCUGAGAAAGGAUAUGAACUUUUUUCUGUCUUUCCCUACACAAAGACUGAAAUCUACUUUAAAAAAAUAUGGUGGGAGGUAACUGUAUUAUUAUUGUUUAAAAUUAAUUAUCCUUUGCUCCAUAUUUUACCUUGUUUAUUUUAUCUGUCCAGCUUUCCCGGAGGGGCAGACUCGAGGCCCCCAUUUGGUUUUUAUUAGUGUAAUCAGUUAAUAGCUGUUCUAUAACGCUUUACUUAUUGUGUUAAUUUUCUCUAGUUAUGUCCAGAGGCAGUUUCCUGGAAGACCACAUUAAAAAAAACAAAACAAAACAAAACAACCCCAAAAUCCCCCUAGCUUCUUCUUUAAUGGCUUUGGUUACCACUUACAGCCUCAGCUUGGUCCACCAAGGUACUGAAAAUACAUCUAAACUGUGGCUAGUAUUUUAAAUGUAUAUCUGUGUAUAAAUGUAUGAAUGUGUAGCCUAUGUCAACCCUAAUGUCUGCAGAGACAUCAGUACAAUCUAUCAGCUCCUUGAACUCACUCAGUUACAUGCAAAUCCUUUUCACAGCUGGGGCCUGGGACAAGAGUGUCCACUGCCACUUAGAGGUUUUCAUGGGAAUGUACCCCAUGUGAGUUUUGAUGUUUACAGGACUAGUCCUUGAAUAUAAAUGAGCUUCAUAGCAGGCUACAUUGACAAACUUCCCUGUGUGCAAUAGAUUAUACCCUCCCAUGGCUUACAUCCUGAAUUAGAUAGAAAUCAUCUUCAGAGUUAACACCACGCAUUAGGAGCAGGCUGGACCAGCUCUCUGGAUGGCAAGGAUCUCAGCUGAGUACCUUCACUGCCUCUGGUUCUGUUUGCUCUUUGUAGUGGCCCUUGGGAAAGAAUCCUUUGCAGAUGAUGGGUCUACAUCACACGCUUAUGGUUUGCUGUUCAGUCUCUGGCAAUGAUCAGGGGUCCACACAAAACAAGUUUUCAUUAAGGCUUUAAAGAAGUCUUUAUGUGACGUGCUGGCUAUGAAAACUGACCCAUGUUUUAUUCCUAUUUUGGAACAUUUGUACGCACAUAAUGAUCUGUGUUCCGGAUGGGACUCGAGUCUAAAGGGAGUUUGGUUUGUUUUUUGUACACCUUGGACCACAUAUUUACCACAGCUGCCUUUCCUUUGUGACUUGCCACAUGAAAUUAAGUGUAGGACUUUUCACCUGUGGCAUCACAUCAGCGCUCAAAACGUUUUGGGGUGUGGAGCAAUCCAGACUUUGGAUUUUGAAUUAUACAGGUCCAGCCUGAAGUAAAUCUGGGCUGAAGUUAAAUACAAAGUAAGAUUCUAGGUUAAGAACUGUGCUGACUAGUUACUUGUUAGUUUGACACAAGCUGUACUCAUCGUGGAAGACAGAGCUUCACUUGGGGGAAACGUCUCCAUCUUAUUCACUUGUCAGCAAGUCUGUAGGGCAUUCUCUUGAUCAAUGAUUGAUGUAGGAGGGCCCAGUCCACUGUGGGUGGUGUCACCUCUAGGCAAGUGGUCCUAGGCUGUACAAAACGCAACCUCAGGGGCUGGAGAGGUAGCUCGGCAGUUUAGUGAAUUUGUUGCUUUUGCAGAGGACCCAGGUUUAACUUCUAUCACUCACAUGGUGGCUCACAGCUUCAGGGCAUCUAGCGCCCUCUACUGAUCUCUUCAGACACCAGGCACAUGCGUGGUGCAUAUACAUACAUGUAGGUAAAGCAGCUAGCCAGUAAGCAGCAUUCCUCCAUAGCCUCUGCUUCAGUUCCUGCCUCCAGGCUCCUGCUCAGAAUUGUCUCAGUGUGUGACUUGGGCACGUAAACCAAAUAAACCUUUUCCUCCCUAAGUUGUUCUGGUCAUGGUGUUUUAUCACAGCAAUAGAAACCUGACCAGAACUGUUGCAAGUAAUGCCUGUGAGAGAAGAGGAACAGAACAUGGGACUAUAAAUGACAGGGAAGAGCUGUAUGCCUGGGCAAGUCACUUCUUUCUCAAUCUUUUUCCUUCCUUUUUCCACAUGAGGACCCUGGGGAAGAACUCCCAAAGAGACUUACUUUUACGGAAGCCUGUGAUCCUUUAAGAAUGACCAACAGUGCAAAUCAAGUCAAAAGACUUAGAUGCUCUCUCCACUACUCCAUCUCCAGCACCUAGAACAGUUGUUAAUUUUUGACAGAGUCGCAGAAUGUGAUGUCUUGCUGUGCACACCCUUCCGAUAACGAGGUGCUGUCAUGAUUUGAAUAUGCUUGUCCGAAGAAGUGGCACUAUUUGGAGGUGUGACCUUAUUGGAGUGGGUGUGUCACCGUGACCAUGGGCUUAAGACCCAUGUCCUAACUUCCUAGAAGUCAGUCUUCCACCAGCAGCCUUCAGAUGAAGAUGUAGAACUCUCAGCAAUGCCUGCCCCAUGCCUGCCUGGAUGCUGCCAUGUUCCUCCCUUGAUGAUAACGAACUGAACCUCUAAACCUGUAAACCAGCCCCAAUUAAAUGUUGUCCUUAUAAGACUUGCCUUGGUCAUGGUGUCUGUUCACAGUGGUAAAACCCUAACAAGACAGGUGCCAUAUGUGGUUUUUCCUCUGCCACAUCUUCCAACGAUGAUGUUAUCUGUCAUUAAAAGCCCAGAGCAAUGAGAUCACCUCAUGGUGGACAGAUAACCACUGUAACUGUAAGCUAAACUAAAAGUUUCUUUCUUAACAGCUAAUUUUCUCAAUAUUUUAAAGAAUUAAGUAAUUAAAUUUUUUUAGAGUAGUGAACAUUGAGUAAUUAUUUUUUUUUUUCUUUUUUACAAUAGUGAAGAGCUGAGCGGCAGGGCCCAUCAGGAUUGGAAGACAGCGUUGGGUGCAUUGCAUCGACUUCAACAAGCUAAAAAUCUAACCAUGAGCUUAAUUGUUUCUUCCAGCCCAGCAUAAAAAGAAAGCAUGACCCUAGACGUGGAGUGAAUGGAGUGUGCAGGUUCCGACGAGUUCACUGCGGCUCCAGUGGGGAUCGGGCAGGCUCCAAGCACUAAAUAACCCUAAUGAUAUCAGGACUGGUCCUGCUUGCUCCAUCUACACACUGUUGGUUAACAGUGGACCCUCUGACUCUCAUGAGGAUGACUGGACAUGUGACAGAAGACCAGGAGUCCGGGAGGCUGCCCUUUCCUGCUUUAACUUUGUUCUGUCAGAAUUGAUAAGAUUUCGAUUUCCAGUUAAAACCCGCCAUCGGGUGUUCAGCAGGACAGUGAAAGAACGCCCGGCACACUGAACCAACAGUCAGAGGUUGAACCUACCAGCAAAGCUGGCUCUGAUGGACAAACGCUUCCUAGGGCUCCUUCCUGAUGCAGCUGCUAUCUGCAGACCUCCUGGACUGCCCUGGGAAGGGAGUGGGAGCUCCUGCCACAGAUGGGCGGAACAUCGGCAAGAAGGGUUAAAAGUGGCCAAAAAUAACAGUGCCUUCCAGAUGAGGUGACCUCAGAGCCAAGAGCAUCAUGGGGUAGAGUAUCUUGUUCUUAGUUUUAUGACCUAAAAAGUACACAGAAGAUGCAAAGAUACUACAGAGAGAAGGAACAAAGUCUGCAGGGAACAGGGAAAGGCGAUUAGCUAUCAUAUUUUUUUUUAAUUGAAUUUUGUUGCGCAUGAACGCAAAAGAAAACACGGCCUUUUAAUACAUGUUUGAAGAGAGACCUAGCUAUAUAGAUAGAUAGAUGAUAGAUAAGUAGAUAGGUGAUAGAUGAUCGAUAGAUAGGAAAGUAGAUAGAUAGAAUAGAUGAUAGAUAGACAAAACUAUGCACACUAGAAGAGCAAAAGGAGAAAAAGGUAGAGACAAGACUGCCUUCCUUCGUUUGCUAUUGAAACAAACUUAAUAAAUCCUCAUUGAGAAUCAAGUAUGUGUGGUUCUAUUACCUUUCGGUACAACAUACCACCCUAAAACUUACUAAUAUAAAAACACGACCUUCACUGUAUCACAACCAGUCGUGGUUCUGAGGGUCACCUGGGAGGAGCUGGGUGGUCUCAGAGGCUUUCCUGACAUUGAGGCUGGCAGGUAGCUAAGGCUGACUUUUCUAUGGCUCCCUUUUGCACUUCUGGUGCUUGAUGCUGGUCAGCGAUUGUCGCUCCCUCAGAUGGGGGAAUGCCCGAACAGGGUCAUUCCCUGCAGUCUGAGUUGCCUUGCCAUCUCGUUGUUAUCCUUCUUGCAGCUGCUCAGUGGUUAAAAAGUGAAUGUCCCAGGACAAGGUAGAAACGUAAUCAUGGUGUAGCUGAGUUGGCUUCACCACUCACGAGGCCAGCUCAGGUUCAAGAGGUGGACACAGAGAUCUCAGAGAUGCAUCUCUGGAGUUUCAAAAUGUUGCGGCACCUGUAAACAUCUUAAACCUUCCAAGACAUUUAACCAAACCAGGAUGUCAGCUGACCUGAUGCCAAUUUUCUAAGAUCAUGUGUCUAGCUGAAGCUAUAAAAAAAUCAGUAAAGGACCGGGAAUGUAGUCCAGUAGUACAGCACUUGCCCUACGUACAAGGAGCACUACCUCUGCAAAGAAAGUAACCAAGGGUAUGUUCUGUGGGAAGGAAUAAAAUAUCUACAGGCCAGGGCUAUGCGGCAGUGGAUGAGUGUAUUUAAGGAAUACGCUCGAAGAACUGUGUGCUGUGGUGCACACCUAUAAUCACAGCAUGGUGUGUGUGUGUGUGUGUGUGUGUGUGUGUGUGUGUGGCCAGACGGGGCCUUAUAGAGGAAAACUCUGAGUUGAAACAAACAAACAAACAAAGAAACAAAUGCAACAAACAAAACCUCCCAACCUUUGCAUAUGUAGAGAUCAUAGGCCCAAAGCCAUUAGGAAAGGCCUAUGGCUACUUCCUACCGUUGGAGAGACUUGAAAAGGCC